GGUCCGGACCAGCACGUAGAGCUCAGCGAGCCCGACUACAGACGCAGCGAUCACAGCUGCUAUUACUCGCUGGAAAACAGAGAAGAGGACACCUCUGCGGACAAUUCGGCUGUUUUGAACGUCUGGAUCUUCUGAGACAAAAAAGGCGAAAGCAGCAACCACUGUGACCAGGAAGUUGAAUACAGUCGCCACCACCGCUUUGACCGAUCGCACUGAAAAAUACAUAACGUAUAAUUUAGCCUCUGAUUGUUAAAAUUGUGAAUAUUGAAAACAGUGCACGUGUACCACGCUGACCUUGCCGACCAAAAUCUGCUAAUGUCCCACUGCGGUUGACU